rnacentral:rRNA from 1 species
GACGAACGCUGGCGGCGUGCUUAACACAUGCAAGUCGAACGGAAAGGCCUCUUUCGGGGGGUACUCGAGUGGCGAACGGGUGAGUAACACGUGAGUAACCUGCCCUUGACUUUGGGAUAACUUCAGGAAACUGGGGCUAAUACCGGAUAGGAGCUCCUGCUGCAUGGUGGGGGUUGGAAAGUUUCGGCGGUUGGGGAUGGACUCGCGGCUUAUCAGCUUGUUGGUGGGGUAGCGGCUUACCAAGGCUUUGACGGGUAGCCGGCCUGAGAGGGUGACCGGCCACAUUGGGACUGAGAUACGGCCCAGACUCCGACGGGAGGCAGCAGUGGGGAAUAUUGCACAAGGGGUGGAAGCCGGAUGCAGCAACGCCGUGUGCGGGAUGACGGCCUUCGGGUUGUAAACCGCUUUCGUUCAUGACGAAGCUUUGUGUGACGGUAGUGGGUAAAGAAGCACCGGCUAACUACGUG